rnacentral:rRNA from 1 species
CCUACGGGAGGCAGCAGUGGGGAAUAUUGCACAAUGGGGGGAACCCUGAUGCAGCGACGCCGCGUGAGCGAAGAAGUAUUUCGGUAUGUAAAGCUCUAUCAGCAGGGAAGAAAAUGACGGUACCUGACUAAGAAGCCCCGGCUAACUACGUGCCAGCAGCCGCGGUAAU